AGUGCAGCCGGCGCGACAGGUUCCUCCCAAAGAGGAUGAAAAGGGAACUCGGGUGUGAAACCCGGGCUGCCCCCGCAACUGUAAGCGGCGAGUUCGCGCGUCACAUGCCACUGGGACUGUUCUUCGGAAAAGACCUGGGAAGGCGACGCGCAGCAACGAUGACCCGCGAGCCAGGAGACCUGCCUGUCGCGGUCGUUUUUC
rnacentral:ncRNA from 1 species